UACGUAGGGGGCUAGCGUUGUCCGGAAUCAUUGGGCGUAAAGAGCGCGUAGGCGGCCCGGUAAGUCUGCUGUAAAAGUCAAAGGCUUAACCUUUGAAAGUCAGUGGAUACUGCCGGGCUAGAGUCCGGAAGAGGCGAGUGGAACUCCUGGUGUAGCGGUGGAAUGCGCAGAUAUCAGGAAGAACGCCGACGGCGAAGGCAGCUCGCUGGGACGGAACUGACGCUGAGGCGCGAAAGCGUGGGUAGCAAACAGG
rnacentral:rRNA from 1 species